GACGAACGUUGGCGGCGUGCUUAACACAUGCAAGUCGAACGGAAAGGCCCUGCUUUUGUGGGGUGCUCGAGUGGCGAACGGGUGAGUAACACGUGAGUAACCUGCCCUUGACUUUGGGAUAACUUCAGGAAACUGGGGCUAAUACCGGAUAGGAGCUCCUGCUGCAUGGUGGGGGUUGGAAAGUUUCGGCGGUUGGGGAUGGACUCGCGGCUUAUCAGCUUGUUGGUGGGGUAGUGGCUUACCAAGGCUUUGACGGGUAGCCGGCCUGAGAGGGUGACCGGCCACAUUGGGACUGAGAUACGGCCCAGACUCCUACGGGAGGCAGCAGUGGGGAAUAUUGCACAAUGGGCGGAAGCCUGAUGCAGCAACGCCGCGUGCGGGAUGACGGCCUUCGGGUUGUAAACCGCUUUCGCCUGUGACGAAGCGUGAGUGACGGUAAUGGGUAAAGAAGCACCGGCUAACUACGUGCCAGCAGCCGCGGUGAUACGUAGGGUGCGAGCGUUGUCCGGAUUUAUUGGGCGUAAAGGGCUCGUAGGUGGUUGAUCGCGUCGGAAGUGUAAUCUUGGGGCUUAACCCUGAGCGUGCUUUCGAUACGGGUUGACUUGAGGAAGGUAGGGGAGAAUGGAAUUCCUGGUGGAGCGGUGGAAUGCGCAGAUAUCAGGAGGAACACCAGUGGCGAAGGCGGUUCUCUGGGCCUUUCCUGACGCUGAGGAGCGAAAGCGUGGGGAGCGAACAGGCUUAGAUACCCUGGUAGUCCACGCUGUAAACGGUGGGUACUAGGUGUGGGGUCCAUUCCACGGGUUCCGUGCCGUAGCUAACGCUUUAAGUACCCCGCCUGGGGAGUACGGCCGCAAGGCUAAAACUCAAAGGAAUUGACGGGGCCCCGCACAAGCGGCGGAGCAUGCGGAUUAAUUCGAUGCAACGCGUAGAACCUUACCUGGGUUUGACAUGGAUCGGGAGUGCUCAGAGAUGGGUGUGCCUCUUUGGGGUCGGUUCACAGGUGGUGCAUGGCUGUCGUCAGCUCGUGUCGUGAGAUGUUGGGUUAAGUCCCGCAACGAGCGCAACCCUUGUUCACUGUUGCCAGCACGUUAUGGUGGGGACUCAGUGGAGACCGCCGGGGUCAACUCGGAGGAAGGUGGGGAUGACGUCAAGUCAUCAUGCCCCUUAUGUCCAGGGCUUCACGCAUGCUACAAUGGCUGGUACAGAGAGUGGCGAGCCUGUGAGGGUGAGCGAAUCUCGGAAAGCCGGUCUCAGUUCGGAUUGGGGUCUGCAACUCGACCUCAUGAAGUCGGAGUCGCUAGUAAUCGCAGAUCAGCAACGCUGCGGUGAAUACGUUCCCGGG
rnacentral:rRNA from 1 species